rnacentral:rRNA from 1 species
GACGAACGCUGGCGGCGUGCUUAACACAUGCAAGUCGAACGGAAAGGCCCCUUUGGGGGUCAUCGAGUGGCGAACGGGUGAGUAACACGUGAGUAACCUGCCCUUCACUUCGGGAUAACUUCAGGAAACUGGGGCUAAUACCGGAUAGGAAUCCUUGCUGCAUGGUGGGGGUUGGAAAGCUUCGGCGGUCUUGGAUGGACUCGCGGCUUAUCAGCUUGUUGGUGGGGGAGUGGCUUACCAAGGCUUUGACGGGUAGCCGGCCUGAGAGGGCGACCGGCCACAUUGGGACUGUGAUACGGCCCAGACUCCUACGGGAGGCAGCAGUGGGGAAUAUUGCACAAUGGGCGGAAGCCUGAUGCAGCAACGCCGCGUGCGGGAUGACGGCCUUCGGGUUGUAAACCGCUUUCAGCAGUGGCGAAGCUUGUGGUGACGGUACCUGCAGAAGAAGCACCGGCAAACUACGU